UACGGGGGGGGCAAGCGUUGUUCGGAAUUACUGGGCGUAAAGGGUUCGUAGGUGGCCAACUUAGUCAGACGUGAAAUCCCUCAGCUUAACUGGGGAACUGCGUCUGAUACUGGAUGGCUCGAGUGCAGGAGAGGAACGCGGAAUUCCAGGUGUAGCGGUGAAAUGCGUAGAUAUCGGGAGGAACACCAGUGGCGAAGGCGACUUCCUGGCCUGUUCUUGACGCUGAGGCGCGAAAGCUAGGGUAGCAAACGGG
rnacentral:rRNA from 1 species